rnacentral:rRNA from 1 species
GACGAACGCUGGCGGCGUGCUUAACACAUGCAAGUCGUACGGUAAGGCCCUUUCGGGGGUACACGAGUGGCGAACGGGUGAGUAACACGUGAGUAACCUGCCCACAACUUUGGGAUAAGGCUAGGAAACUGGUGCUAAUACUGGAUAUGUACUCCUGCUGCAUGGUGGGGGUUGGAAAGCUCCGGCGGUUGUGGAUGGACUCGCGGCCUAUCAGCUUGUUGGUGGGGUAGUGGCCUACCAAGGCGGCGACGGGUAGCCGGCCUGAGAGGGUGACCGGCCACAUUGGGACUGAGAUACGGCCCAGACUCCUACGGGAGGCAGCAGUGGGGAAUAUUGCACAAUGGGCGCAAGCCUGAUGCAGCAACGCCGCGUGCGGGAUGACGGCCUUCGGGUUGUAAACCGCUUUCAGCAGGGACGAAGCUUUUUGUGACGGUACCUGCAGAAGAAGCACCGGCUAACUACGUG